UCCUGGCUCACAACGAACGCUGGCGGCGUGCCUAAUGCAUGCAAGUCGCACGCGCUUGCUUUCGGCCAAGUGAGUGGCGCACGGCUGAGGAACACGUGGGUAACCAACCCUGGCGUGGGGGACAACCAACCGAAAGGUGGGCUAAUCCCGCAUACGCUCCUUCGGGAGGAAAGUGGCAACACGCGCCAGGACGGGCCUGCGGCCCAUCAGGUAGUUGGUGAGGUAAUGGCUCACCAAGCCAGUGACGGGUCCCUGGUCUGAGAGGACGACCAGGCAGACUGGGACUGAGACACGGCCCAGACUCCUACGGGAGGCAGCAGCAAGGAAUUUUCCGCAAUGGGCGCAAGCCUGACGGAGCAACGCCGCGUGUCGGAAGACGGCCUUCGGGUUGUAAACGGCUUUUGUCGGGGAAGAGAUGGACGGUACCCCGACGAAUAAGCCCCGGCUAACUCCGUGCCAGCAGCCGCGGUAAGAAGGAGGGGGCAAGCGUUGUCCGGACUCACUGGGCGUAAAGGGUGCGUAGGCGGUACAGAGCGUCGACACUGAAACCUCCUGGCUCAACCAGGAGACGCGUGGCGAUACGACUGAACUCGAGGCAAGGAGAGGUGCGCGGAAUUCCGGGUGUAGUGGUGAAAUGCGUAGAUAUCCGGAGGAACGUCGGUGGCGUAAGCGGCGCACUGGUCUUGACCUGACGCUGAGGCACGAAAGCGUGGGGAGCGAACCGGAUUAGAUACCCGGGUAGUCCACGCAGUAAACGAUGUCGGCUCGGUGUGCAGUGGUGUAUACACACCACCGCGUGCCCCAGUUCACACGGUAAGCCGACCGCCUGGGGACUACGAGCGCAAGCUUAAAACUCAAAGGAAUUGACGGGGGCCCGCACAAGCAGCGGAGCGUGUGGUUUAAUUCGACGCAACGCGAAGAACCUUACCCAGGUUUGACAUGGUACUGCAAGCGCACGGAAACGUGUGACCUUCGAGGGUGUACCACAGGUGCUGCAUGGCUGUCGUCAGCUCGUGUCGUGAGAUGUUGGGUUAAGUCCCAUAACGAGCGCAACCCCUAUCGUUAGUUGCCAGCGGAUAAUGCCGGGGACUCUAACGAAACUGCCCGUGCAAGCGGAGAGGAAGGUGGGGAUGACGUCAAAUCAUCACGGCCCUUACGUCCAGGGCUACACACGUGCUACAAUGGCGCAUACAAAGGGCAGCUACCACGCGAGUGGAUGCUAAUCUCUAAAGUGCGUCUCAGUUCGGAUUGAAGUCUGCAACUCGACUUCAUGAAGCUGGAAUCGCUAGUAAUCGCGCAUCAGCCAUGGCGCGGUGAAUACGUUCCCGGGCC
rnacentral:rRNA from 1 species